AUGGCAGCUUUAAGUCUCUGGGUGAGCCGUGGAGAGAACGUGGAGCAGCGUCCUUCUACUCUGCGUGUCCUGGAGGGAGACAGCUCUGUCAUCAACUGUUCUUAUUCUGACAGUGCCUCAGACUACUUCCCCUGGUAUAAGCAAGAACCUGGAAAAGGUCCCCAGUUCAUUAUAGAUAUUCGUGCAAGUAAGGUCAAAAAUAGCAAACAAAGACUCACUGUUUUUUUAGAUAAGGCAAAGAAACAGUUCUCCCUGCACAUCGCGGCCACCCAACCUGGAGACACAGCCGUUUACUUCUGCGCAGCAACGGCACAGUGCUUCCCGGGCACCUGCUGCCUGCACCCAAAUCCAAGGCUGCAGCUGAAGCCCCGCCCCUUCUCUCUGAACAGGUCUUUAAACGCACCAUUUGUCAUAGUGUUUUUUUGCAAGUGGAAGCUGACAUAUAGGUAAUUAAAGCAUAUAUUAAAAAGGUUAGAGUCAAGAUGAUCAGAAAGGGUUUUUUCCUUUUGUUUUCUGAUUGUUGCUUAGUAGAUUAUUAUUUUUUAUUGUGUAUACUUAGGGUGAACAGUAUGAUGUUUUGAUACACAUGUACAAAUU